AACGAACGCUGGCGGCAGGCCUAACACAUGCAAGUCGAGCGAGACCUUCGGGUCUAGCGGCGGACGGGUUAGUAACGCGUGGGAACGUGCCCUUCUCUGCGGAAUAGCCACUGGAAACGGUGAGUAAUACCGCAUACGCCCUUCGGGGGAAAGAUUUAUCGGAGAAGGAUCGGCCCGCGUUAGAUUAGAUAGUUGGUGGGUAACGGCCUACCAAGUCUACGAUCUAUAGCUGGUUUUAGAGGAUGAUCAGCAACACUGGGACUGAGACACGGCCCAGACUCCUACGGGAGGCAGCAGUGGGGAAUCUUAGACAAUGGGCGCAAGCCUGAUCUAGCCAUGCCGCGUGUGUGAUGAGGGUCUUAGGAUCGUAAAGCACUUUCGCCAGGGAUGAUAAUGACAGUACCUGGUAAAGAAACCCCGGCUAACUCCGUG
rnacentral:rRNA from 1 species